UCUCUCUCUCUCUCUGCAAGUCUCCGUGGAUCAGUUGAAUCUGAUGAUGAUAUGGAUCGCGAGUUCGGGGCAACGUUAGAUCCAUUGAUACAAUCCGAAAUCUCCAUUUCUUUAGUCUGGGUAAAAUACAGUUACCUCCCCUGAGGUUUGGCCCCAAUAGGGGUCCCCCCCUGACCUCUGGGAAAUUACGCUAACACUCAUGUCAGAGUUUGUCGCCUAACUUCGAGUUACUAAAGAAGCUAAAUUACCAUAUUAUUCUUGCAAGUUAGAAAGUUGAUUAAUGCCCUCUUGUCUCA
rnacentral:lncRNA from 1 species